rnacentral:rRNA from 1 species
UAAGACAGAGGGUGCAAACGUUGCUCGGAAUUACUGGGCGUAAAGGGCGUGUAGGCGGGAAGGCAAGUCGGGCGUGAAAUCCCCAGGCUCAACCUGGGAACUGCACUCGAAACUGCCUUUCUUGAGUACCGGAGAGGAAAGCGGAAUACCUGGUGUAGAGGUGAAAUUCGUAGAUAUCAGGUGGAACACCAGUGGCGAAGGCGGCUUUCUGGACGGUAACUGACGCUGAGACGCGAAAGCGUGGGGAGCAAACAGGAUUAGAUACCCUGGUAGUCCACGCUGUAAACGAUGAGUGCUAGGUGUCGUGGGUAUUGACCCCCGCGGUGCCGUAGCUAACGCAUUAAGCACUCCGCCUGGGAAGUACGGUCGCAAGACUA